rnacentral:lncRNA from 1 species
GGAGGAGAGGAGGAGAGAAAUAGUGACACUGUGGAGGAGAGGAGGAGAGAAAUAGUGACAGACUGGAGGAGAGGAGGAGAGAAAUAGUGACACUGUGGAGGAGAGGAGGAGAGAAUUAGUGACAGACUGGAGGAGAGGAGGAGAGAAAUAGUGACACUGUGGAGGAGAGGAGGAGAGAAAUAGUGACACUGUGGAGGAGAGGAGGAGAGAAAUAGUGACAGACUGGAGGAGAGGAGGAGAGAAAUAGUGACACUGUGGAGGAGAGGAGGAGAAAACAAGAGAGAAUGAAUGAGGAGAGAGAUGGGCAAAAACAGAGUGAGGACUUUCAGGAGGGGAAAGGAAGAACGAGAGGGGGAAGUAGAAUAAGAGAGGUAUUGAAGGAAGGAUGAACGCUCUUCAGAAGAUCCAGGGACGGACAGACCAGAUGUUGGGUGCUGUUGCUGAAAUGCUGACUUACUUGGCAUUGCCCAAUCAACUGUGGGACCUGAGCCCUAGGACCAUGCCUCAGGACUACCUUGUAUGAUGACUCCUUGCUGUCCCCAGUCCACCUGGCCGUGUUGCUGCUCCAGUUUCAACUGUUCUGCCUGCGGCUAUGGAACCCUGACCUGUUCACCGGACGUGCUUGUUGCACCCUCGACAACUACUAUGAUUAUUAUUAUUUGACCAUGCUGGUCAUUUAUGAACAUUUUAACAUUUUAACAUUUUGACCAUGUUCUGUUUUAAUAUCCACCCUGCACAGCCAGAAGAGGACUGGCCACCCCUCAUAGCCUGGUUCCUCUCUAGGUUUCUUCCUAGGUUUUUGGCCUUUCUAGGGAGUUUUUCCUAGGGAGUUUUUCCUAGCCACCGUGCUUCUUUCACAUGCUUUGCUUGCUGUUUGGGGUUUUAGGCUGGGUUUCUGUACAGCACUUUGAGAAUAUCAGCUGAUGUACGAAGGGCUAUAUAAAAAUAAAUUUGAUUUGAUUUGAUUUGAUUCUCUUGAUAAGAGUGUGAAUUAGACAAUUUUUGUGUCCUGCUAAGCAUUCAAAAUGUAACAAGUACUUUGGGGUGUCAUGGAAAACGUAUUGAGUAAAAAGUACAUCAUUUUCUUUAGGAAUGUGGUGAUGUAAAUGUUGUCAAAAAUAUUAAGGUGACUUUCCAUUUAAUAACAAUUAAGCAAGGUUUGGACAGCAAGUUUCCUUCAUCAGAUUGUGAACAGAGCGCGAGGCAACAGGGACAGCAAGUUGCCUUCAUCAGAUUGUGAACAGAGCACGAGGCAACAGGGACAGCAAGUUUCCUUCAUCACAUUGUGAACAGAGCACGAGGCAACAGGGACAGCAAGUUUCCUUCAUCAGAUUGUGAACAGAGCACGAGGCAACAGGGACAGCAGAGACCAGGGGCUUCCUCUCCUAACACAAAGUGGCUAUCUAUCUAUUCAGAUAAAUUAUUUCCUCCCCUAGAGAUGGUACAAAAAAAUACAUCAGUAAUUAUGAUCCCUCUCUCUUCCCCUCCCUCUUUCUCUCUCUCCCUCC